UGUAAGCGUAUACCAAAGUUGUUGCAGUUAAAACGCUCGUAGUCGGAAUUUGGCAGUUCCGGAUGUGUGCACGUCGUGUGCGCACUUCGCGGGGAUUGCUUUUGUGGUCUUGCGUAGGAUGAGGCACUUUUAUUAGUGAACGUCCUCACGCAACCACUUUUUACUGUGAGAAAAUCAGAGUGCUCAAAGCAGGCAUUUGCCGUGAAUGUAUUAGCAUGGAAUAAUAGAAUAGGACUUGGUUCUAUUUUGUUGGUUUGUUGGGACUGAGUAAUGAUUAAGAGGGACAGUUGGGGGCAGUUGUAUUUCGGUGCUAGAGGGGAAAUUCUUAGAUUACCGAAAGACAAACUGCUGCGAAAGCGUCUGCCAAGGAUGUUUUCAUUGA
rnacentral:rRNA from 1 species